GAAAAAUCUAAAAUGAUUUCAACAUCCAUCAGCAAAAAGCAAUCGCGCUUAUUACUACUCGUUAGAAGAUAGACAAUUAAUUUAAUUCACUAGAAACCCGUUCUACAAUAUAAACUAGAAAUCGGCCAACAUAUUGUCACGAAAUACUACAAUUAAAAUAUAGGGUCUCAAAACUACCGAUUUCACCGAACGGUCAAGUUUCUCUGCAAAGAUCGCCCUUUUACCCAAUUUUCAUAGAGUAGAUCGUCGUAUUAUCGAGUCAAAGGAUUAUGUAUACUUUAACAUUAAAGAAUAAAAAAACUCGAGAUAAAGAGUAGAUAUUAAAUAAAAUACGAAUAUCUGUAUCAAAAGAUAUGAGCGUUAUUAGGUGAAGCACUCGAUACUUUUUCCAACAACAUAUUGGGCUUAUUUUUUACAAAAUUAAAAAUAUUCACACAUAAAAGAUAUGAAAAUCAAUGGUGGGUUGACUACAAAUUUUUUGUAGUUCGCUAUAACUACAGCUACUUCAAAAACAUGUAGUCAGCUACAACUACUGCUGGUACUUUUUGAAAAGGUAGUUCGCUACUGACUACAGCUACUGCUUAAGAAAUGUAGCGAACCAUUUCGCUAUUUCGCUACGCUAUAUUUUUUAAUUUUACUGUAUUUGGAGCAUAUAUUAACUCAGGUUUGAAUGUAACCUAUGGCUAUAACAAAUUGAUUUACGAGUAACAACAGUAAAUACGAAGCAACAUUUUUGAAAGCACUAUACAGUGUUGAGGCGUGCAAAUUGACUAUUGAGUAUUGAUUUUAAGCACGCCGUGUCUC